rnacentral:rRNA from 1 species
CCUACGGGUGGCAGCAGUGGGGAAUAUUGGACAAUGGGGGGAACCCUGAUCCAGCCAUGCCGCGUGUGUGAAGAAGGCCCUCGGGUUGUAAAGCACUUUCAGUGAGGAAGAACGCCUGGUGGUUAAUACCCAUCAGGAAAGACAUCACUCACAGAAGAAGCACCGGCUAACUCCGUGCCAGCAGCCGCGGUAAUACGGAGGGUGCGAGCGUUAAUCGGAAUUACUGGGCGUAAAGCGCGCGUAGGUGGCUUGAUAAGCCGGUUGUGAAAGCCCCGGGCUCAACCUGGGAACGGCAUCCGGAACUGUCAAGCUAGAGUGCAGGAGAGGAAGGUAGAAUUCCCGGUGUAGCGGUGAAAUGCGUAGAGAUCGGGAGGAAUACCAGUGGCGAAGGCGACCUUCUGGACUGACACUGACACUGAGGUGCGAAAGCGUGGGUAGCAAACAGGAUUAGAUACCCGGGUAGUC